GAGGAUGCGGUUGGGGAAGCCCUGGCGGCAGAUGCGGAUGCCCUCGAGGACGCCGUUGCAGCGUAGCUGGUCCAGCACCAGCCGUGGCUCCAGCUUUCCAGCCUGUGGGGCAAGAGAAGCGAUGGGGCAACAAGAAAGUCUCCGCAAGUCCUGAGAGACCUCGAAUAUGCAGCACUCCCAGCCAUUCUCUCCUUUGUGCUUUCUGGGCUGCAACUGGCCACUGGGCCUUUGCACAAGCUGUUCUCUGCAUGGGAAGCCACAUAUCUUUUGCUCAGGCAUCCCAUCCUCUGGGAGUCCUCCUGGACUUUGCUGGCCAGGUCAGAUCAUAUGGGACAUUUAUGACCUCUACAAAUCCCCCCUGGAAUGCAUUUUGGGGGCUUGGCUGAGAGCCUGUGCUCCCCAGUACUCGGCAGAUUUAAGUCACGGGAUGGAUGAAUUUCCCAGCAGUAUGGAGAGCCAGAAUGGAAGCAGCUUGCUCAGGGGCAAGAAGCAGACUUCGCCCAGCCAGGCCAGCAGCUGAGCCUUGGCCCUGUCCUCCCGGGCGGGUCACUCACCCUCUUCUCGUGAUUGGGGACGAUGCAGCGGACGAAGCUGGGGUUGGUAUUGCUGAGCGUGGCCAUCAGGCGACUCAGGGACUCCUUGUAGAGCUGCCCCACCGUCCGGAACAUCCCGCGGCGCGGGCGGCCGCCCGGUGGACCAUCCCCGAGGCUGCUCACCUGCUCCAGCCCCACGAUGCCCUCCACUGUGGAGGGGCAGGUGCAGGGUCAGCUGGACGGGUCCGGCUGGCCGGGGACCAGGGUCCCGAGCACUUAGACCCAGGCCUUCACACAGCGCAUGCGGCCCAUGGCCCGGGAGGGGGUGUCACUGACAGCACUGUUAAAGUGCGUAGACUGAGGCUGGCGGGCCGUCUCGAGCACCAGGGUGGGCUGUGUAAAUCCCCAGCCCUGCUCAGAGGAGAGCUCUGCUUUCCUCAUCACCAGAUGACAGGGACAGUGAGUGACAGCAGCUGCUGCUAGGACUGGGGACUUCAGGCAGGGCGCUGCCUAUGAGGGCUGUGCUCAUCAAGGGAGGAAACUGAGGCACAUAGGGGCCAGCGAUGACACACAGCAUGGCUGGAACACAAAUGGUGCCUCGGGAAAACUUUGACAGAGGCCGGCCCCUUAGGAGCCUCAGCUGACUUCAGGGUGACACUGGUCUCACUGCCACGUCCACCAGGGUCACUUCUGCUUGGGAAAAACACCCCAGGUCCCUUACAUCUGGUGCCACCUUGUGUACCCAAAGCUGCCAACUUUCUCGGGGACAUCAGGUCCCGCAAAACCCAGCCCAGCCCGGGGCUCACUGCUUAAUUCAGCUGCAGGGCGGGGCCUCGUGCGGCACAGGGGCUUGCAAACGUGGCUUUCCCCUCCCUAAGUGCAAUGGUCUUCUCCACUGCCGUGCUUUUGGUCAUUUUCAAAACAAUCAUCGUUAAUUCAGUUCUCAGAGUGCAGGGAAAGGGUAAGGUUCUGAGUUCAAAUCCCAGCUCUGGUACUCACUGUCUAUGUGCCCCCCCAACCCCAAGCAAGUUGUUUAACACC